UACGUAGGGUCCAAGCGUUAUCCGGAAUCACUGGGCGUAAAGCGUGCGUAGGUGGGUAAUUAAGUGCGAUGCGAAAUCCUGUGGCUCAACCAUACGGACUGUACCGCAUACUGGUUAUCUAGAGGAUAUGAGAGGCAAGUGGAAUUACCGGUGUAGCAGUGAAAUGCGUAGAUAUCAGGAGGAACACCGAUGGCGAAGGCAGGUCUCUGGGCUGACACUGACGCUCAUGCACGAAAGCGUGGGGAGCAAACAGG
rnacentral:rRNA from 1 species